UUGAAUUUUAAUGUAAGAGUUUGGUUGUAGCUGGCCCAUUCAUUUGGGCAUGUGCACACCUUCCUCUUUCAUCCCACACACACCUGUGAACCUGUGAGACAGAGAUUGGGGAAUUUACUUGCUGCUUUUUGGAAUACAAAGGCAAUAGGUUAUUGGACCCCCCCUCUGUCUACUCAAUUAAUAUAAACUCAAUUUAUUUUAAAACGAAUGUAAUGGAUGUAACACCAUCUCAUACUAAGG
rnacentral:misc_RNA from 1 species